rnacentral:hammerhead_ribozyme from 1 species
CUCAGCUGAUGAGUCCCAAAUAGGACAUAACGCGCGUCCUGGAA